rnacentral:rRNA from 1 species
AUCCUGGCUCAGGACGAACGCUGGCGGCGUGCUUAACACAUGCAAGUCGAACGGUAAGGCCCUUUCGGGGGUACACGAGUGGCGAACGGGUGAGUAACACGUGGGUAAUCUGCCCUGCACUUCGGGAUAAGCCUGGGAAACCGGGUCUAAUACCGGAUAUGAGCUCCUGCCGCAUGGUGGGGGUUGGAAAGUUUUUCGGUGCAGGAUGAGUCCGCGGCCUAUCAGCUUGUUGGUGGGGUAAUGGCCUACCAAGGCGACGACGGGUAGCCGGCCUGAGAGGGUGAUCGGCCACACUGGGACUGAGACACGGCCCAGACUCCUACGGGAGGCAGCAGUGGGGAAUAUUGCACAAUGGGCGAAAGCCUGAUGCAGCGACGCCGCGUGGGGGAUGACGGUCUUCGGAUUGUAAACUCCUUUCAGUAGGGACGAAGCGAAAGUGACGGUACCUGCAGAAGAAGCACCGGCCAACUACGUGCCAGCAGCCGCGGUAAUACGUAGGGUGCAAGCGUUGUCCGGAAUUACUGGGCGUAAAGAGCUCGUAGGCGGUUUGUCACGUCGUCUGUGAAAUCCUCCAGCUCAACUGGGGGCGUGCAGGCGAUACGGGCAGACUUGAGUACUACAGGGGAGACUGGA